GUCGAGCGGAUUGAUGGGAGCUUGCUCCCAUCAGUCAGCGGCGGACGGGUGAGUAACACGUGGGUAACCUGCCUGUAAGACUGGGAUAACUCNCGGGAAACCGAGGGCUAAUACCGGAUAACUCAUUUCCUCGCAUGAGGAAAUGUUGAAAGGUGGCUUUUAGCUAUCACUUACAGAUGGACCCGCGGCGCAUUAGCUAGUUGGUGAGGUAACGGCUCACCAAGGCGACGAUGCGUAGCCGACCUGAGAGGGUGAUCGGCCACACUGGGACUGAGACACGGCCCAGACUCCUACGGGAGGCAGCAGUAGGGAAUCUUCCGCAAUGGACGAAAGUCUGACGGAGCAACGCCGCGUGAGUGAUGAAGGUUUUCGGAUCGUAAAACUCUGUUGUUAGGGAAGAACAAGUACCGUUCGAAUAGGGCGGUACCUUGACGGUACCUAACCAGAAAGCCACGGCUAACUACGUGCCAGCAGCCGCGGUAAUACGUAGGUGGCAAGCGUUGUCCGGAAUUAUUGGGCGUAAAGCGCGCGCAGGUGGUUCCUUAAGUCUGAUGUGAAAGCCCACGGCUCAACCGUGGAGGGUCAUUGGAAA
rnacentral:rRNA from 1 species